CAUGAUUCAGUUCCUCCUCUGAGCCAUCAACACUGAAUAUAGCUAAUAAUGUGUGUUUUGGAGAUCUGCUAAUCCAUCCUGUUCUCUAACCUUCCAAACACUAUUUCAGCAUUAACCCUGCUGUGACUUUCACAAUGCUCAGCAUGCUGAUAAGCAUUGAUUCGAAACACUACUGAAAAAUCUUAAGGAGUUAGUAUUCAUCCUGGAAAACCACUUAUGAAGUGUUUCCCACCCCACAUGGAAUGGUGCUCUUUAGUAACCAGUGUUCUAUGAGUUUCUCUGUCUUCCUCCUUAAGACUAUGCUAGAAUCCCUCAGUAGAACCUGUGCUGUUUUGAAUAUAUUCUUUCUGAAGACAUGUUCUUUAAAAAGUGUUAAUAUUAAGGCUUGAUUCUUAGUUAUCAUGAAGUACUAAAAUGCUGUUUCUUUGUAUGCUCAGUUCUCACCUAUUUGUUUUCAAGCCAUCCUUUUUGUGCAUUAACUGUUCUCUCCUUUAUACAUGAAAUAUUUACUUGCUUAAGCCUCAGAAUUAAAACUUCAAUUCAAGGCUUACUUCUCAGCCAAUUCCAUGCCUCAGUGGAAGAAAAAAAAAUAAA
ensembl:sense_intronic Gm43914 predicted gene, 43914